rnacentral:rRNA from 1 species
AAUAUUUAAUUGUCAGAGGUGAAAUUCUUGGAUUUAUGAAAGAUUAACUUCUGCGAAAGCAUCUGCCAAGGAUGUUUUCAUUAAUCAAGAACGAAAGUUAGGGGAUCGAAGACGAUCAGAUACCGUCGUAGUCUUAACCAUAAACGAUGCCGACCAGCGAUUAGGAGACGUUGAAUACAAAACACCACCAUCGGUGCGGUCGUCCUUGGCGUCUCGGUCCUUCACGGGGCCGGGGCGCGGGGAUGGCUUAGCCCGGUGGCACCGGUGAAUGACUCCCCUAGCAGCUUGUGAGAAA